ensembl:lncRNA
CAUGUCAGUUUGAGAUAUUUUCUCUUAUCUUAGUUUAUAUGCAGUUGCAGCUAGCCAUUCACAGGUUUAAAGUGAAAAAAGUGAAAGUCGUGACAUUUGCCAAGUAUGGUAACCCAUACUCGGAAUUGGUGCUCUGCAUUUAACCCAUCCAAGUGCACACACACAGCAGUGAGAAGUGAACACUCCGUGAACACACACCUAGAGCAGUGGGCAGCUAUAUAUCCAGCCCCCGGGGAGCAACUGGGGGUUCAGUGCCUUGCUCAAGGGCACUUCAGCCAUGGGUAUUGAGGGUGGAAGAGAGCGCGGUUCAUUCGCUCCCCACCAACCUACAACUCCUGCCAGCACCGAGACUCAAACCUGUGACCUUCUGGUUACAAGUCCAACAAUCUAAUCAUUAGCAACCACAGCUGCCCCUUUAUUUCCCUUAAAGGUGUUCACACUGUGGUUCUGUGCUGCUUUCAACACACAAUCCCAAAACAUUCAGCGGAGUCCAGUGACUAUCCUGAGCUGUAAAUCAAAGGCAGCAGACAAGGGGAAGGAAAAUAAACAUUAGUCUUUUUCACGCUGAUUAGGGCUCACUAAAAUUGAGGUACUGGUAAAAACAUCUACUAUAAUCAAAGAAGUUUUUUUUUUUUUUGGAUUUAUAUAUGUUACUUGCAAAAGGGGUCGACUGCAGCUGACCAGAAAACCCUUGACCUACUGGGACAGCCUGUCUUUUUUUCUUUUCUCUACAAAUGCCAGAUGAACAAAUCUUUGGAAAACCUCUUUGAAAACAGUGAAGUCAUUUUCUUUGCAAUUUUGUUUGGUUACACUCAUGGUGCGGAAAUGACAUCUUUCCCCUUGAAGAUCCCAGGUCACUUCCUCAUAAAUGGUUGGCAUUUUUUCAUACCUUGGCUUUUGUGGUCUUUCCUUCAAAUCACUGCAGCUCAUUUUUCAUUUGUGGCACCAGGUCAAUGGCCAAGACAUGCAGGAGGUCAGCCACCAUGAGGCUGUCAGCAUCCUGAGGAAUGCUGGGAGCUGCAUAAAAAUGAAAGUGCUACGGGAGAGAAGCAUGCCAGUGGAGCCUUGGCUGCAUGAGAGGAAUGACACCAUGGAAACAGCAGACCCCCAGGUCAGCCAAGAGUGGGAUGUUGCCAUGAGCAAUAACAGAUCAAGUGGCCCACAGUCCUCCACUGAUCCCAUGCUGGACUGCAGCCCAAUGACCAACAGGAUGGAAGCUACUGUCUGCAAUGGAAAUGGACUGGAUGAUCCAAUACAGGACUUACGGCUGACAAAAGACAUGGAGACCUUCAAAAACAAUGCCCUACAGGUUGUGAAAAAUACUAUGACGAUACCUCGGAUUAUUCUGACUCACCCCUCUACCUCAGAUGAGGACGUGGAGCCCCUGACGCAGGGCCCAGAUGACGGAGAUUUUGAUUCUGACUUCAGCGACUCGGACAGUCACAUCUACUCGGACUGCUUGAACAGCGCUUUCUAUCCUCUGUGAAAGAUAGAGAAGUACACAGACUCCAGGUGUGCCUGUGUCCUUCGGUAAGGUGAAAUUGUUCUAGCUGUGGUCCACAAUCGCCGGAGCAGAAAACGAGUGGCGCGCGAUCGAUACUUCAGGCAAAGUCCACAGUAACAUGAUGCACUGUUUAGAACACCAUUGUGUGAAAGUGAUGUAGAGGAAGUGGGAAGUAAAUAGAUCAUAUUUUUCUAAAAUGUUACUCCUUUAAAUUGUACACGCUCUUAAAUAGACCUUACUUGCUUUGUGUAUGCUUCAUUUAAAUGUUUUUACUUGUAUCAUUUAUAAAUUGCCAAAAACAAA